UAACAUACAGUCUGCAUAGAACAAGGGAUGACUCACUGCUGAAAACGAAAGUAAAUUCAGAAUCUGUAAAACUCUUCUUUCAUAUGUUCCUGUGCUGCUGGCACUUUUUGUGUUUAAAAUGGAUCCAUCCAUGUUACCGGGCUGCUGCUUCUGGGAGCCAGGCAGAGGCAGAGAUUGAAGAGCCACCCAAUAAACUCCCCCGUGACUCGGCUAGAAUGUUAGCCACCAGCGAGAGACGCGUUGAGGCCUGGUAACAGAUGGGAGUCUACAUCACACAGCGAUGGCUCCCUCUGCUGGAAAUGCCAUGUCUCGACUGGGUCUCCGGCCAGGACUAAUUGAGGCUGAUUAUGCUUGCUGCUGUACGACCCAGGCCACCUCUGCUCAGAUACCCCUCCUACCUCUGCAAGCGGUUAUUGCCAGGUAAAUGUCAAUGUAUCAUCCUGUGUGGCUCAUUUGGUAACUGUGUAGAGCAAGCUAAGCCAAGGUUAUGGGUUAAACCCCGAUAAAGAUCAGAGACAUAUACAAAAAGUACAGUAUUCAGUCUGUAUAGUGUGAGCCACAUUGGAUAAAAGUGUCUGCUAAGUGACAUUGUAGACUGAACACAAAUAUAUAGGAAUAUGCAACAAUUUCAAAGAUUUUACUGAGUUACAGUUCAAAUAACGAAAUCAACCAAUUGAAAUAAAUAAAUGAGGCACUAAUCUAUGGAUUUCAUGGAUAACUGGUGUUGUGGCAGAAUCAGAAUUCUUUAGGUAACAUUGAUAAAUAAGAUGUUUUAUCAAUGUUCAUAAGUAUGCUUAUGUGGGAAAGUUACUUGGGGCCCAGAGAGGGGAGAGGUCAGGUUUGUCUUAUCUGUGAAUGUGUCUGUAACUAUUCCUAAACCAUGUGAAGGGAUGGUUUGAUUAAUGGGGAACCAGUUAGUUGGCUCCCCAAUGUCUGUGUGCCAGUCACUCCUCUCCGUAAACUUGUCCAGGAGGGGUUGGAUUUUGGAUGGGAGUAUCUAGAAUUGACAAUUGAUAUAUGCCAUUGGAUGAGGUAAUGUUUUGGUCCUAAGUGGUACCAAGAACGAGAAGUAGAACCUCGUCUAAGAGGGCAAACUGAACGAUAAUUUAUAGCUAAUGCUGUCUGGCUAUAGGAUACUCCCUUUUCUGGUAAAAUGUUUUGAAUGCUUUGUGUAAUGUUCCUAAGAUCUGUUACUAGUCAUGUGAGUUUUGAUGGGUGUGUCUUGGCUAUAAAUGAUAGUAAGAACUGUUUUGUAAGCACUCUCAGAGAAUUAAUUUAUAGACACUGAAUUGAUCUGAGAGUCAAACAGGGCUAUGGUGAAGCUCAUAUAUAAUUAAAGAUGGCACUUUAUAAUAUACUCUGACUUGUGUGUUGUUUGCUCGCAUGAUUUGGUACUACAGGAAAUUUCCACGACACUGGUAAACCAGAUAUGCAUCUGUUGGUCACAGAUGCCUUAAAAAGU